rnacentral:rRNA from 1 species
GGUCAGCGACUUAUAUUCUGUAGCAAGGUUAACCGUAUAGGGGAGCCGGAGGGAAACCGAGUCUUAAUUGGGCGUUAAGUUGCAGGGUAUAGACCCGAAACCCGGUGAUCUAGCCAUGGGCAGGUUGAAGGUUGGGUAACACUAACUGGAGGACCGAACCGACUAAUGUUGAAAAAUUAGCGGAUGACCUGUGGCUGGGGGUGAAAGGCCAAUCAAACCGGGAGAUAGCUGGUUCUCCCCGAAAGCUAUUUAGGUAGCGCCUCGUGAAUUCAUCUCCGGGGGUAGAGCACUGUUUCGGCUAGGGGGCCAUCCCGGCUUACCAACCCGAUGCAAACUGCGAAUACCGGAGAAUGUUAUCACGGGAGACACACGGCGGGUGCUAACGUCCGUCGUGAAGAGGGAAACAACCCAGACCGCCAGCUAAGGUCCCAAAGUCAUGGUUAAGUGGGAAACGAUGUGGGAAGGCCCAGACAGCCAGGAUGUUGGCUUAGAAGCAGCCAUCAUUUAAAGAAAGCGUAAUAGCUCACUGGUCGAGUCGGCCUGCGCGGAAGAUGUAACGGGGCUAAACCAUGCACCGAAGCUGCGGCAGCGACACUGUGUGUUGUUGGGUAGGGGAGCGUUCUGUAAGCCUGUGAAGGUGGCCUGUGAGGGUUGCUGGAGGUAUCAGAAGUGCGAAUGCUGACAUAAGUAACGAUAAAGCGGGUGAAAAGCCCGCUCGCCGGAAGACCAAGGGUUCCUGUCCAACGUUAAUCGGGGCAGGGUGAGUCGACCCCUAAGGCGAGGCCGAAAGGCGUAGUCGAUGGGAAACGGGUUAAUAUUCCCGUACUUGGUGUUACUGCGAAGGGGGGACGGAGAAGGCUAUGUUGGCCGGGCGACGGUUGUCCCGGUUUAAGCGUGUAGGUGUGUGUUCCAGGUAAAUCCGGUUCACUUUAACACUGAGGCGUGAUGACGAGGCACUACGGUGCUGAAGCAACAAAUGCCCUGCUUCCAGGAAAAGCCUCUAAGCAUCAGGUAACAUCAAAUCGUACCCCAAACCGACACAGGUGGUCAGGUAGAGAAUACCAAGGCGCUUGAGAGAACUCGGGUGAAGGAACUAGGCAAAAUGGUGCCGUAACUUCGGGAGAAGGCACGCUGACAC